CGGAUCGGAGUCUGNAACCCGACUCCGUGAAGCUGGACUCGCUAGUAAUCGCGCAUCAGCCAUGGCGCGGUGAAUACGUUCCCGGGCCUUGUACACACCGCCCGUCAAGCCAUAGGAGCCGGGGGGUGCCUGAAGUUCGUGACCGCAAGGAGCGACCUAGGGCAAAACUGGUGACUGGGGCUAAGUCGUAACAAGGUAAC
rnacentral:rRNA from 1 species